UACCCGCUGAACUUAAGCAUAUCAAUAAGCGGAGGAAAAGAAACCAACAGGGAUUGCCCUAGUAACGGCGAGUGAAGCGGCAACAGCUCAAAUUUGAAAUCUGGCUCUCGGGCCCGAGUUGUAAUUUGUAGAGGAUACUUUUGAUGCGGUGCCUUCCGAGUUCCCUGGAACGGGACGCCAUAGAGGGUGAGAGCCCCGUCUGGUUGGAUGCCAAAUCUCUGUAAAGUUCCUUCAACGAGUCGAGUAGUUUGGGAAUGCUGCUCUAAAUGGGAGGUAUAUGUCUUCUAAAGCUAAAUACCGGCCAGAGACCGAUAGCGCACAAGUAGAGUGAUCGAAAGAUGAAAAGCACUUUGAAAAGAGAGUUAAAAAGUACGUGAAAUUGUUGAAAGGGAAGCGUUUAUGACCAGACUUGGGCUUGGUUAAUCAUCUGGGGUUCUCCCCAGUGCACUUUUCCAGUCCAGGCCAGCAUCAGUUUUCCCCGGGGGAUAAAGGCGGCGGGAAUGUGGCUCUCUUCGGGGAGUGUUAUAGCCCACCGUGUAAUACCCUGGGGGGGACUGAGGUUCGCGCAUCUGCAAGGAUGCGGCG
rnacentral:rRNA from 1 species